UCUAAUUAGGUUGCAUUCCUGUCAGCCAUUGCAUUGUACUGUGCUUCGAGAUGGUAUCAGUAUCAACUAUAGUGUUGAUUUGUGUGUGUUUCGGGAUCUGUGCAGAUGGAUUUUCGUCACGGCGACUAAUUCCAGACACGGAGGAAUGUCGGUCUGUGGCUGGGACGUGCAUUGACACCACCAUUGUUCAGUGUACGGGACUCACUACUCCAACCUGUGGGCCCCUGCCGGAGGCAGUCUGUUGUGUUCACUUUGUUCUUGGAAACUGAGUCGUAAAGACGUCCCCAGCACAUUUCCGGUUUAAGUUUUGAAAAUUGGAAUAUAAUUACAUUGUAUAUUAAAUUAACAAUGCAACUCA